rnacentral:rRNA from 1 species
UGGGGAAUUUUGGACAAUGGGGGCAACCCUGAUCCAGCCAUCCCGCGUGUGCGAUGAAGGCCUUCGGGUUGUAAAGCACUUUUGGCAGGGAAGAAACAGCCUGGGAUAAUACCCCGGGCGACUGACGGUACCUGCAGAAUAAGCACCGGCUAACUACGUGCCAGCAGCCGCGGUAAUACGUAGGGUGCAAGCGUUAAUCGGAAUUACUGGGCGUAAAGCGUGCACAGGCGGUUCGGAAAGAAAGGUGUGAAAUCCCAGGGCUUAACCUUGGAACUGCACUUUUAACUACCGAGCUAGAGUACGUCAGAGGGGGGUAGAAUUCCACGUGUAGCAGUGAAAUGCAUAGAGAUGUGGAGGAAUACCGAUGGCGAAGGCAGCCCCCUGGGAUGAUACUGACGCUCAUGCACGAAAGCGUGGGGAGCAAACAGGAUUAGAUACCCUGGUAGUCCACGCCCUAAACGAUGUCAACUAGCUGUUGGGGUUUAUUAACCUUAGUAGCGCAGCUAACGCGUGAAGUUGACCGCCUGGGGAGUACGGUCGCAAGAUUAAAAC